ensembl:miRNA
UUGCAGUGCACGGAGAGGAUUGAGUGUUUCUGAUUUCCACCUCUGUGUCCUCUGCAGU